UGCUAUUACUAACGCCGGAUUUUCACGAGAUUUUCCAGAAGGUCACGAAAUGGUCACGAUCUUGCGAAUGGCCAGUAUUGAAUCGAAAUGAGGAAUUAAACUACUGAUACCCGUUGGUCUUCGAGACCUCGAUGACACGGGUGAUUCAUCGUGAAUGAACCAACCUCGCGAAGUAUUUAUCGUUGACCAGAAGGACUGUUGCUGGGUAUCGAUCGCGAUGCUAUUACUAACGCCGGUUUUUCACGAGAUUUUCCAGAAAGUCACGAAAUGGUCACGAUCUUGCGAAUGGCCAGUAUUGAAUCGAAAUGAGGAAUUAAACUGAUACUCGUUGGUCUUCGAGACCUCGGUCACACGGAAUCUAAACUUGUAGAAGAUGGAAAGAAAAAAAAAGUGAAGCAAAUUUCGAUUUGCUUCUGAAGAGGCCCCGGAGGGAUUCGAACCCUCGAUCUCCUGUUUACUAGACAGGCGCUUUAACCAACUAAGCCACGGCGCCGUUGGGAGAAGAUGAGCGGCAUCUGCGAGUUGAAGAAAGGAACGCAAAGUGAUUCAAUCGUUUCACCGUGAUGUCAGAUCCAUAACAGGGGCGACAUACAAAGGGACGCUGAAACUGUAGAAAGAACACAUUAAUCUUCGUAAAUCGAUCCGCUAGAAGUUAACAGCGAUAUCUGCAAAAUCUCUAUUUAGGAAAGUGAUGCACAGAAGAUUUGAAGUCUCCUGGAUUGACGUGGCACGUCAAGACGAAGCCGGCGGGGUUCGUUUCGAUUGCUCCGUUCUUCUUUUUCGUACGUAUUAAUAUUAAUAGGUUGCUUGUUUUUUUAGAUGAAACCAAACUCGCGAAUGAGCUUUUGAUUCGAUUCAGCCUCGGGGAUCGCACGAAGACGGUCUUCCCUUGUCGUAAUAACGUCGCCGCUCGGUACUUUGAUAAGCGCGUGUGUGUACAUGUGUUCCGUCAGAAUCGUGUGUAGGUGUGUUGUACCAAGAGCGAGCACGGAUAUCGUCUUUCUUUUCCCCCCCCCCUUCUCUUUUCUACGCUUUCCAUGUCGCUCAUUGGCAGGUUUAUAAUUAUUCUCGAGCGUACAAAUUGUGCGAGCAGACGAUUGUGUACAUCGGUAAACGUAGUCAAAGAGCAUAAUAGCGUAAACGCGGAGAAUAAACACGAAUGUUUCGUAAUAUAAUGUGUAAUUAUCAAUCCCGGGCAAAGUAAUUUGCAUUAAGCAAGAAACAUAAUUAUGUUUAGCUAAUGAUGGCAUAAUAAUGUAGCUCUGGUGAAAUUAUGAAGCAAUGAGUUUUGUGCUUCGAUAAACCUUUGUCGCAUUAUUGGUUAUAUGAGUUUUUAAUUAAUCCGUGUAAUCGUGAAAUGUCAUCAGUGCAGUAAUUAAUGAGCAUAGGUAGCUUUGCAAUUUCCAGCGGCCAAUGUGCUAUAUUUAUACCCAAUAGUCAUAUUAGUCAUCUAUAUUGCGCUUUUGCUGCGUCCCGUCAAUUAAUUGGCAUUUAAUUACGUGGAAGGAUAUUUUUCUUCUUUUCUCUCUGUUUUAUGAGCUGUUAAGAAUUGUCAAUGAAUUUCUUGAAUAAAACGUUAUAUGACAUUUUUUGAUAAAAGGUGAAAGUUUAUACGCGAUAUGUAAUUUAUCGAAAGCAGACGAUUCAAUAGGUAACUAUAAUAAUCAUCGAACAUUUGUAAUACGUUUUUAGAAACAAUUUUAACAAAAGAAUUAACGGACAUAUGAUUACAGUAGAUACCAACGUAAGUUGCAAUUAUUUAAAUAUUUUCUUCUAGUUUUUGCUUACAAUUGUUUCGUUUAACUAUAACAAAUUUUAUUUUUCAUUUCUUUAAUCUUAGUAAAAGUAACUUUAAUACUACAAAUAUUUGUAGGCAAUGGUAAACUUUGGUCGUGUCUCGCAAUAUUGGCGAAGUUAUGCUGAACAGCUUGCUGUAAAUUAUUGCAGUUUACGUGUCAAUCUUUUGCAUCAACACGGGAAGUUUCUUUCGUAGGAAACACGAUAAUGUGUUAACGUCAAUCUGAUUGUAUCCCGUACGGCGACGCAGGCGAUCUCGCAUGUCCCUCGUGUCCUCGCGUCUGAUAUCCCGCGAUAUUGAAACGACCGUUCGCAAACUUUGAUCAGCUUUUAAUCCACUUGGGUACCGUUAAGCGAAGAUUUCACGAAGAUUCCAUCGCGCUCCUUCGAAAUCUGCUGUCGUUCAUCAUCGUUCGGAAAACUUUCCCAAAUUUGACGCGCCCAGCAGGCGAGAUAAAAAGGCGGACUCGGGUGGCGGAGAGACGAGAGAGGGAAGAGAUGAAACACGGUGCACGCGCAGCCUUGAUAUCGCAGGCUCGAAAACGAUUACACGUAAUGAGAUUUAUCGAAGGCGGAGUUUAGAGAGGAACGUAAACUUUCGCGGAACAUGUAACUGAAAUGAAAUGAACACGUCCGUACGGAUGAAGCAAAUAAUCAUCGAAAACGAUAUCCUGAGAGGAUGCGAUAUAACAUGCGCAAUUUAUAAAACAUUAGCAUUAUUAUUAUUGUUCGCCUACAUGCUGACGAGCAUUCUAUUUGUUAAAUAGGAUAGAUUGAACGAAUAAAUAAAAUUUGGUAAACAUAUGAUUAAAUCAUUCCGCGGAUUUAUAAAUGUAAUUUAUCGUUAACUUAUUUGAUUUCUCGGCACGCAAUUAACAAUCCUUUAACGCUUGAUUUUGCGGUGUCUAAUUAGCUUCCUCCUUCGCUCGGGGGGGGAACUUAACUCAGCUUAACACGAUGAGUCGGCAUAUAGGAGCAAUCCGUCCUACCUGGACGAAAGAGUCGCGCGCAUUUUUCUUAUAAUCCCCACGCGCUUGCCGAUAACAUGACUUAAGAGUAAUUUGUCUCGGAUUAUUUAUGCACUCGACACUGCGGCAUGCGCUCGGUCUCGCUCUCUUUAUGAGAGACGCGGUGUCACCACCUGGAUUUCAAAGUCGUCGCACGGAUGGCGUGCGGAUGUGAACGCUGGCAACGCACUCAAGAAUGAGGGAAAGGGGCGGCGGGCGAGCGAGAGGGAACGAGAAGGGAAGAGGCGAGAAGAGAGACGGUACGAGACGGCGGCGGACGGCGAGGGGAGGGAGUCCGACAAGUUCUUAUCGGUGAUUAUGGAUACGUCAAAAGCGAGUCGAGUGUUUAACGAGGACCAUCCACCGACGGCGAGUCACCGUCGCUAAUGAUCGUCAGCCAUUUUCUUUCAUCCCGGGUGACACGUCGAAACUCGGUGUGGUCCGGCGUCGCCUCCCCUCGAGAGAAGCUGCGAUCUCCGCUGCUACCGCUGCCACUGCCGUUGCUGCUGCUGCUGCUGCUGCAAAAAGGCGGUAUCUCGAUUUUAUUUUGGAAUGCCCGCGCGGCCGGGCCCACCCACGGUUUCUCACGUGCUGCAAUUACUGCCUCUUGUAAAACAGCAAUAAGAGCGCAAUUAUAUGGACUCGUAACGGCGAAAUUGAGGAAACUGUAUACCACUUCAUUGUACGCGGCGGUACGCGAAGGGAUGCACUCGGCAUGUUAUCCGCUGGUAUUUUGAAACGAAAAAAGAUUUAUUUUAACGCCGCGCAUAGUCUGCUAUAUCUGAUUUCUUCAAACGACAAAGGGAGGAAAGGCGAAUAAUAAUUCAUAACGCGCGUUUCGUUCCCUUACUGCACGCGGAGAUUCCUGCACGGAGAGAAGGUACAGAAUAAAAAUUUACAUCUGCGCUACGUCCAAAUUCAGUUUCGCGUUUUCUGGAGUUUUUCCUGGACUUAGGCGCGGCGAACGCCGCGCUAACGAUCUCGUUUCAAGACGCACCAUUUCAUCACGAGCUGCGCGGGAUUUUCGUUGGAAGGAGGGGGGGGGGAGGAGAGCGAGAGAGCGGAAGAGGGUUACAACUUCAUUGUCGCGGAAGCGCCAAGUGCCGCGAGAGGCCAUUGACACUUUUUUCGUUGGGCAAAUCCCGCUUUACGCCUUACGACGA